rnacentral:misc_RNA from 1 species
CAGAGCAUCAUGCCCUUCGGGGUAGAUCUCCCACCCUAUGUAUUACAUACCUUUGUUGCUUUGGCGGGCCGCCUCGGCCACCGGCUCCGGCUGGUGCGUGCCCGCCAGAGGAUCUCAAACUCUGAUUGUUAGUGUCGUCUGAGUACUAUUUAAUAGUUA